rnacentral:rRNA from 1 species
UCGGGUCCCGAUGCUAGUGGCGCACGGGUGAGUAACACGUGGGAAUAUGCCCUUUAGUACGGAAUAACCAAGGGAAACUUUGGCUAAUACCGUAUACGCCCUUCGGGGGAAAGAUUUAUCGCUAAAGGAUUAGCCCGCGUCUGAUUAGGUAGUUGGUGGGGUAAUGGCCUACCAAGCCGACGAUCCAUAGCUGGUUUGAGAGGAUGAUCAGCCACACUGGGACUGAGACACGGCCCAGACUCC